CUAUAAAGUCGUGACAUGAAUGUUUGAGGAACUAACAUUAUUCAUGUGUCUGGCAACACCAAAGAUCACCAAACAUAUGUACAUCAGCUGUCAUCGAGAACAAGUUGUGGAACGAUUUUCAUUUUGUGGUUUUUAUUGUUUGACUAAUCUCCUGUAAAUUAUUACUCAGCUACGAAGAAAAGUAUAAACAAUGAGUAAAGUAAAUUGGAGUGCCACGCGGAAAGUGAUUUUUAAAGUUUUCCAGCAAUGUUCCGCGGAGUACCAAGCUGGUCAAAUUUUGUGGGAUUUUGAUGUUUUUUAUGGGCGAACAGCAUCUUUGACGGGAAAAUCAGAGAGUACGGUUAAGCGCAUAGUCAAUGAAGGUUUUCAGAAUAAUGGAAAAUUUAGAACUCCUGGGAAACACAGGCAAGGCCGACCAAAGAAAGAAAUGGAUAAUUUUAAUAUUUGUGCUCUGCGCCAAAAAAUAUAAUUUUUUACACGGUACAAAAAGAGGUCACAAAAUGUUCGCAAUCUCUAAACAUCAAAGGCAUCACAAAAGACAUUUUCAAAGGAAAGCGUUACAUCAUAGUCCAUGCUGGAAGCGAAAAGGGGUUUGUGCCAAACUGCCUCCUCAUAUUCACUGGCAGAAAUAAUUUGGAAGACUACCAUUCAGAAAUGAAUGCGCAUAACUUCACGAAGUGGAUUAAAGAAAAACUAAUACCAAAUCUUCAUGAGCCUUCCAUUAUAUUUAUGGACCUGUACCAAGACAAUUGGUUAUUUUUGCUUAGGCGAUAAUAACAGCAGCGAAGAUGAUGAUGUGAAUGAUGACAGCGCUGCUUAUGAAAGUGGCAACGAAACUUUUCUUAA